ACACAUGCAAGUCGAGGGGCAGCAUCAUCAAAGCUUGCUUUGAUGGAUGGCGACCGGCGCACGGGUGAGUAACACGUAUCCAACCUGCCGACAACACUGGGAUAGCCUUUCGAAAGAAAGAUUAAUACCGGAUGGUAUAGUUUUCCCGCAUGGGGUGACUAUUAAAGAAUUUCGGUUGUCGAUGGGGAUGCGUUCCAUUAGGCAGUUGGCGGGGUAACGGCCCACCAAACCAACGAUGGAUAGGGGUUCUGAGAGGAAGGUCCCCCACAUUGGAACUGAGACACGGUCCAAACUCCUACGGGAGGCAGCAGUGAGGAAUAUUGGUCAAUGGACGAGAGUCUGAACCAGCCAAGUAGCGUGAAGGAUGACUGCCCUAUGGGUUGUAAACUUCUUUUAUACGGGAAUAAAGUGAGCCACGUGUGGCUUUUUGUAUGUACCGUAUGAAUAAGGAUCGGCUAACUCCGUGCCAGCAGCCGCGGUAAUACGGAGGAUCCGAGCGUUAUCCGGAUUUAUUGGGUUUAAAGGGAGCGUAGGCGGGUUGUUAAGUCAGUUGUGAAAGUUUGCGGCUCAACCGUAAAAUUGCAGUUGAUACUGGCGACCUUGAGUGCAACAGAGGUAGGCGGAAUUCGUGGUGUAGCGGUGAAAUGCUUAGAUAUCACGAAGAACUCCGAUUGCGAAGGCAGCUUACUGGAUUGUAACUGACGCUGAUGCUCGAAAGUGUGGGUAUCAAACAGGAUUAGAUACCCUGGUAGUCCACACAGUAAACGAUGAAUACUCGCUGUUGGCGAUAUACAGUCAGCGGCCAAGCGAAAGCAUUAAGUAUUCCACCUGGGG
rnacentral:rRNA from 1 species